UACGAAGGGCGCUAGCGUUACUCGGAUUGACUGGGCGUAAAGGGCGCGUAGGCGGCCCGUCAAGUCCCGUGUGAAAGCCCCCGGCUCAACCGGGGAACGGCGCGGGAAACUAGCAGGCUUGAGUUCGGGAGAGGGAAGCGGAAUUCCGGGUGUAGCGGUGAAAUGCGCAGAUAUCCGGAGGAACACCGGUGGCGAAGGCGGCUUCCUGGACCGACACUGACGCUGAGGCGCGAAAGCUAGGGGAGCAAACGGG
rnacentral:rRNA from 1 species